rnacentral:RNase_P_RNA from 2 species
CGAGUUGGCAGGGCGACCGCGACGCCGCACCCUCCGCGGGUGUGGUUUCGAGGAAAGUCCGGACUCCACAGGGCAGGGUGGUUGUUAACGGCAACCCGGGGUGACCCGCGGGACAGUGCCACAGAAAACAGACCGCCCGGCGGCCACGGUCGCCGGGUAAGGGUGAAACGGUGGUGUAAGAGACCACCAGCGCCCCGGGUGACCGGGGCGGCUCGGUAAACCCCACCCGGAGCAAGGUCAAGAGGGAACGUUCGCGUUCCUGCGCAGGCGUUCGAGGGCGGCCCGCCCGAGCUUGCGGGUAGACCGCUUGAGCCUGCCGGCAACGGCAGGCCGAGAUGGAUGGUCGCCACCCACGGCACGCCCGUGGGCACAGAAUCCGGCUUAUAUGCCAACUCGUCCC